CACAUGGUGACGGUAAACUUCUGCGUUCUGUCUCAUAAUGCACUUAUGCGUCAGUUUAUUAUAUGCAAUAUCUGCAUUAGUGCAAGUCUGCAGCCAGACCCUCUUGGACGGUUGAGUGGGUUUUGUGUAUUAGUCUGGACUGUCACUCCCGCACUGACUUUCUGAAAAGCCCUGCAUGGAUUGAGGCGUGUGAACCAGGGCAGGGAUGCCUAGACCAGAAGGGGGGGAAAUAAAUAAUUUAAAUAUUAGACACAGACUUUAAAUUUCACCAAACUGAUUCAGAAUUGUGCUAGGGGAAGCUGGUUAAGCUGUUUGUGAAGUUAUUUAAAUGUGGUCUUGAGAAGCAAUAAAACCAGAAGUCAUCGACGGGGGUUUUGGUACAGGAAAUCCUGUUGUGAUUUCCAUCAAAUAUAAAGCUGCCACACAGUCACAGAGCAAGAAUCAGAUGAGAAAUGCUGCAGAUGAGGAUCCCACACACACAGAAGGAGACGAUGGCUCAGUUUUCAGUAAGUGUGAUUGUGCGGAUGGUCGUGGCUCUCACAGUCGUCUCAUCUUUGUCAUUUUACAGAAAGUAUGGAAAGGGAACAUCAGUAGUCGCAGGAUAUUCCACUGUUACCAUUGUCUGUAGACUGAAGGUCAAAGUGCAAGCAACCAGCAAAAAACAUUCAAGAGCUCAAUUUUACUACUUCUGAGGCAGGUGUUCCUGCAAAAAUAUUUCUUCAUGGAGGAG